UCGAGAAUUUUUCACAAUGGGCGAAAGCCUGAUGGAGCGACGCCGCGUGGGGGAUGAAUGGCUUCGGCCCGUAAACCCCUGUCAUUUGCGAACAAGUUGCUUCACUUAACACGUGAAGCAUUGAUUGUAGCGAAAGAGGAAGGGACGGCUAACUCUGUGCCAGCAGCCGCGGUAAUACAGAGGUCCCAAGCGUUGUUCGGAUUCACUGGGCGUAAAGGGUGCGUAGGUGGUGGGGUAAGUCGGAUGUGAAAUCUCCAGGCUCAACCUGGAAAUGGCAUUGGAAACUACCUUGCUAGAGGGUUUGAGGGGGGACUGGAAUACUUGGUGUAGCAGUGAAAUGCGUAGAUAUCAAGUGGAACACCAGUGGCGAAGGCGAGUCCCUGGAAAAUACCUGACACUGAGGCACGAAAGCUAGGGGAGCAAACAG
rnacentral:rRNA from 1 species